AUGGAGACAGACACACUGUCCCUAUUGGUGUUGCUGCUCUGGGUUCCAGGCUCCAUUGGUGACAUUAUGCUGACCCAGUCUCCAGCUUUUUCGGCUCUGUCUCUAGGGCAGAGGGUCACCAUCUCCUGCAGGGCCAGCGAAAGUGUCUAUAGUGGUAUGAACUGGUACCAGCAGAAACCAGGACAGCCACCCAAACUCCUCAUCUAUGCUGCAUCCAACCUAGCAUCUGGGGUUCCUGCCAGGUUCAGUGGCAGUGGGUUUUGGACAGACUUCACCCUCACAAUCAAUCCUGUGGAGGCUGAUGAUGCUGCAACCUAUUACUGUCAGCAAGGUUUGAAGAGUCCUCCCACAGUGCUCCAGUCCUGA